AUGCCUAUAUCCUUUAGAACCAUAGAAGCAGGAACACUUCCAGAUCCAGUUGGUGACGCUCACGCCCCAGGGUUUAGUUUAGUCUAUCUUAUGGUGAAAAUGUCCUGGUCAGCAGGGCAAAGCGUCCUGAAGAGGCUACUGGUCACUGUGCUGGGACUUUUGUGCACCCAGGUUUGCUGUGUGACAGGAUUGAUGGUGAAGCAGAGUCCCCCAGACCUGAGUCUCCAGGAAGGACUCAGCUGCACACUGCAGUGCAAUUUUUCCACCUCUGUGAACAGGGUGCAGUGGUUUCGCCAAAAUCCUGGGGGCCACCUCAUCCACCUGUUUUACAUUCCUUCCGGGACAAAGCAGAAUGGAAGAUUACGCUCUACGACCAUGGUUGAGGAUCGCCGCAGCUUGCUCUACAUUUCCUCCUCCAGCACCACAGACUCAGCCAUUUAUUUCUGCGCCGGGGCAGAGUCACAAUGCUCCCCAGGCACCUGCAGCCUGUGCACAAACCCUCAGCAGGACUUGGCUCCUCCUCCAGCCGCAGUCAGAUCCAGAAGCCCACCACACGGCAUUGGCACGGCUUAAUAUUUCUGACUAUAUCGCUGGAGUUCAAACCACAGGCACUUUUAGGUCCUACAGAUUUGAGACUUUUUGGUCUUUAUCUUCCCUUCUCAACCUGGGAUCUCUUUUUCUGGACUUAAACCUCUGACUUGGAACAUGAGUAGCUAAUGAGAAGACAGACUUAAAAUGAAUAGUUAAGCCCAAUAUGCGGGAUUCCAAGAGGGAAAAAAGUGAAAGGAAUACAAAGAAAAAAAAAUCACUCCAAUAAAGAUGUUAUUAGAGAAGGAUCCAGCUUAGCUGGGUGUCUCAAGAGUACAAACCUGCCUCAAUCCAAUGUGUCUUAAUAGACAAUUGCAACUCGCUGCAUCCCAUCCUGAUGAGGGAGCAAAAGGCAAGCUGGGGGCAAAGCACAAGCUAACAUCCUGCAACCCCUCCCCAUCCCCAGGUGGGAUGUGUGUGAUAUUCCUCAGGCACUCCUGGCUGCCCAAGAACAAAGGAAGGGGAAAAGCAAAUGGUUAACUGAUAGAGAUCACAGCCAUGCAAGACAUGUUUCCAUGUUUGCAACUGCGUUAAUGAUUAAU